GGACCGCGCUAAAAACAUUGGAUAAACUGCUGACCCUUAAUCAGCGGGUCCUUGGUUCGAGCCCAAGUGCGUCCACCA
rnacentral:tRNA from 1 species